CCUACGGGAGGCAGCAGUGGGGAAUAUUGGGCAAUGGAGGCAACUCUGACCCAGCAACGCCGCGUGAAUGAUGAAGGUCUUCGGAUUGUAAAGUUCUUUUCUAAGGGAAGAAGAAAGUGACGUUACCUUAGGAAUAAGCCUCGGCUAACUACGUGCCAGCAGCAGCGGUAAUACGUAGGAGGCAAGCGUUAUACGGAAUGACUGGGCGUAAAGGGUGCGUAGGUGGUUUGACAAGUUAGUAGCGAAACUCCGGGGCUCAACUUCGGAACUACUACUAAAACUGUUGGACUGGAGUGCAGGAGGGGAAAGCGGAAUUCCGAGUGUAGCGGUGAAAUGCGUAGAUAUUAGGAGGAACACCAGUGGCGAAGGCGGAUUGCUAGACUGUAACUGACGCUGAGGCACGAAAGCGUGGGGAGCAAACAGGAUUAGAUACCCUAGUAGUC
rnacentral:rRNA from 1 species